UAAAAAAUGUCCUAAGUUAGAGCUANAGGGA
rnacentral:piRNA from 1 species